ACUCCUGGCCGUCCCCGUGCACUUGAAACGGAAUCCCCCGUGGGCCACUGCACCGGUCGUCUCUCCCAGCGGUGGUGGCCACCAAAACCACCGCCGGAGCUGGCAAAAUAACCGUCUAUCAUUGCUUUAACCAAAUCCACAGUCAAAAUCACCUUAUCCUUCUUCUAAGACCCUAAUCAAAUCAUAAUGUGCCAUGAACCCUAGCUAAUCAACUCCAAAUUAAACUCUAUAUGCGCCAAUUUUAAGCCCCUGGGAUGAGGGCUUUGAAUUCCCUCACUGCUCUCUACACUAUGGUAAUCAAGAAAUGGAGAACAGAGAAUUUGGAACUUACCGUAGCCGGAGAAAGGCGAAGGUGAUGAGGAACCGGUGACCUCUAAUUCUAGGUUAUGCUCAUGACCCUGCUACACUGUCCUUGUUGCUUGCUUGAUGCAGGAUCAAUUCCCUUGUUCUGCCAGCUUGUGGAUCAUGAUGAAUUGCAUGAAUGUCAUGAGGUGCUUGUUGCACUAGUUCUUCUAGCUUUUCUUGAUUGCUAGUGUUCAUGAAGGUAUUGGUCAUGUUGGCUGCAAUUGCUUGGUGUCGAUUCUGAUGCAUUGCAGGUCUGGCCAGGUAUGUACUCAAUUUUGUUAGGCAUACAUAAAUGUUUUCUAAUUCCAAUUCCUGUUAAACCUCAAAACUGCCCAAGUUGGGGCUUCUAUGAAAUGCUUGUGUUAUGUAACAGUUUAUGCAGAUUGGAAGGCUCAGGUUUGUGCAUGCAAGGUUUUGGUAAGGUGUUUGCUUCCUAUUGCAUUUGGACAUGACUGGACCAUGUUAACCUUUUGCCAAUUCAACUGUGGUUCAGCUACAUUAAUGUUGCUAUUUGGAUGCAGGGUCGAACUUCUGGAAGGAUGACAAUGUAGGUCAGUGGUGCGUUGCUGCAGGAUCAUCAAAUAUGUAGGCAAUUUUUUUUAUUGUUGCUCCAUGUAUUGGUCCUGGUUUGCCUCAUGUUGCAGGACUACUUUGUUUGACUUGGAUCUGAAACAGGUUUUAGGUUGUAGUUUCAAGUUUGUUGGCAUAUUCCAUGAUAGGAACAUGGCUACUGCAGGAUCAUGAUGGCAGGAUGUUGGUCAUAGUGAAUCCAAGACCAAACCCAUGUGUAUUCUCUUAUCCAAAUGGCCAAUGCAAGUGUAUUAUUUGAUCAUGUGACUAUGAUGCUUGGUUGUUGUGAAUGCAAGACCAUGUUAGCAAUGUAGAACCAUGGUUGGCAAGGCAAAAGGAACAAGUCAUGGCAUGGUGCAUAUGAUUUUGAAAAUGGGCUAGGUUACUUGGAAAUGAAGAAACGAGGCAAAAGCACAUCAAGCAUGACUUUUGGAUGAUGAAUCAAGGAGAAGUGGGUUAGAUUAGUUCUUAGGUGGUUAAAAAGGGGUGAGUUGACUUUGGUCAAAGUUGACCAAAAAGUCAAAUGUUGACCAAAGUCAAAUGUUGACCAAAGUCAACAUUUAGUCAAAGUUGUCAAAAUUUGUAUUUCUCCAUGUAAUGAUUGUAAUGGUUUAAAAUGGAUCAAAAUUGAUUUGAAAUUGGCUUGAAAUGGAUUGAAAAUGGUUUUCUCUUUGUA